GUUAUAGCUUGCUAUAACUGUCAGCUAAGUGGCGCACGGGUGAGUAAUGUAUAGUUAACCUGCCCUCUAGAAAGGAAUAACAGUUGGAAACGACUGCUAAUGCCCUAUAUGCCUUUAAGACAUAAGUCUGCAAGGGAAACGCUUUAGUGCUAGAGGAUGGGACUGUAUGGUAUCAGCUAGUUGGUGAGGUAAAGGCUCACCAAGGCAAUGACGCCUAACUGGUUUGAGAGGAUGAUCAGUCACACUGGAACUGAGACACGGUCCAGACUCCUACGGGAGGCAGCAGUGGGGAAUAUUGCACAAUGGAGGAAACUCUGAUGCAGCAACGCCGCGUGGAGGAUGACACUUUUCGGAGCGUAAACUCCUUUUAUAUAGGAAGAUAAUGACGGUACUAUAUGAAUAAGCACCGGCUAACUCCGUGCCAGCAGCCGCGGUAAUACGGAGGGUGCAAGCGUUACUCGGAAUCACUGGGCGUAAAGA
rnacentral:rRNA from 1 species